rnacentral:tRNA from 1 species
GGCAGGGUAGCUCAGUGGCAGAGCGAGGGACUCAUAAGCCCUAGGUCGUGGGUUCAAUCCCCACCCCUGUCA